rnacentral:lncRNA from 1 species
UUUGAAAGAUUCAUUAUCAUUCAUGGUCAUGGCCUGCAGUUCCUUUCUGUUUGGGGCCAAAUGCAAGUUGUAGUUAUAUCGCUGGACGAAAGCCUCACACAAAUCAUUGAAAGUUUUGAUAUCAACCUUGUAUAGGCCCAUAUACCAUAUCAGUGCGGCACCAGUCAAACUAUCUUGGAAACAGUGGAUAAGGAGCUCAUCAUUACCUACUUGAGCAGACAUCUUUCUCAC